UCAGAAGGGGAUAACACUUGGAAACAGGUGCUAAUACCGUAUAACAAUCAAAACCGCAUGGUUUUGAUUUGAAAGGCGCUUUCGGGUGUCGCUGAUGGAUGGACCCGCGGUGCAUUAGCUAGUUGGUGAGGUAACGGCUCACCAAGGCCACGAUGCAUAGCCGACCUGAGAGGGUGAUCGGCCACAUUGGGACUGAGACACGGCCCAAACUCCUACGGGAGGCAGCAGUAGGGAAUCUUCGGCAAUGGACGAAAGUCUGACCGAGCAACGCCGCGUGAGUGAAGAAGGUUUUCGGAUCGUAAAACUCUGUUGUUAGAGAAGAACAAGGAUGAGAGUAACUGUUCAUCCCUUGACGGUAUCUAACCAGAAAGCCACGGCUAACUACGUGCCAGCAGCCGCGGUAAUACGUAGGUGGCAAGCGUUGUCCGGAUUUAUUGGGCGUAAAGCGAGCGCAGGCGGUUUCUUAAGUCUGAUGUGAAAGCCCCCGGCUCAACCGGGGAGGGUCAUUGGAAACUGGGAGACUUGAGUGCAGAAGAGGAGAGUGGAAUUCCAUGUGUAGCGGUGAAAUGCGUAGAUAUAUGGAGGAACACCAGUGGCGAAGGCGGCUCUCUGGUCUGUAACUGACGCUGAGGCUCGAAAGCGUGGGGAGCAAACAGGAUUAGAUACCCUGGUAGUCCACGCCGUAAACGAUGAGUGCUAAGUGUUGGAGGGUUUCCGCCCUUCAGUGCUGCAGCUAACGCAUUAAGCACUCCGCCUGGGGAGUACGACCGCAAGGUUGAAACUCAAAGGAAUUGACGGGGGCCCGCACAAGCGGUGGAGCAUGUGGUUUAAUUCGAAGCAACGCGAAGAACCUUACCAGGUCUUGACAUCCUUUGACCACUCUAGAGAUAGAGCUUCCCCUUCGGGGGCAAAGUGACAGGUGGUGCAUGGUUGUCGUCAGCUCGUGUCGUGAGAUGUUGGGUUAAGUCCCGCAACGAGCGCAACCCUUAUUGUUAGUUGCCAUCAUUCAGUUGGGCACUCUAGCAAGACUGCCGGUGACAAACCGGAGGAAGGUGGGGAUGACGUCAAAUCAUCAUGCCCCUUAUGACCUGGGCUACACACGUGCU
rnacentral:rRNA from 1 species